rnacentral:rRNA from 1 species
CCUACGGGAGGCAGCAGUAGGGAAUUUUCGGCAAUGGGGGGAACCCUGACCGAGCAACGCCGCGUGAACGAAGAAGUUAUUCGUAAUGUAAAGUUCUUUUAACAGGGAAGAACGAGAAAUUUGACGGUACCCGAAGAAUAAGCUCCGGCUAACUACGUGCCAGCAGCCGCGGUAAUACGUAGGGAGCGAGCGUUAUCGGGAAUUAUUGGGCGAAAAGGGUGCGUAGAUGGAAUAGAAGGUCUUUUGGAAAAAUGCUGGGCUCAAGCCAGUAGGGCAAAAGAUACUGGAAAACGAGAGUAUGACAGAGGCAAGUGGAACUACAGGUGUAGCAGUAAAAUGCGUAAAUAUAUGUAAGAACACCAGUGGCGAAGGCGACUAGCUGGGUCGAUACUGACAUUGAGGCACGAAAGCGUGGGGAGCAAACAGGAUUAGAUACCCGAGUAGUC